UUGAGUUUGAUCAUGGCUCAGAUUGAACGCUGGCGGCAGGCCUAACACAUGCAAGUCGAGCGGCAGCACGAGGAAGCUUGCUUUCUUCGUGGCGAGCGGCGGACGGGUGAGUAACACAUGGGAAUCUGCCCGAUAGUGGGGGACAACGUUUCGAAAGGAACGCUAAUACCGCAUACGUCCUACGGGAGAAAGCAGGCUUAGGCUUGCGCUAUCGGAUGAGCCCAUGUCGGAUUAGCUUGUUGGUGAGGUAAUGGCUCACCAAGGCGACGAUCCGUAACCUGGUCUGAGAGGAUGAUCAGUCACACCGGAACUGAGACACGGUCCGGACUCCUACGGGAGGCAGCAGUGGGGAAUAUUGGACAAUGGGGGCAACCCUGAUCCAGCCAUGCCGCGUGUGUGAAGAAGGCCUUCGGGUUGUAAAGCACUUUCAGCGAGGAGGAAAGCAGUAAGGUUAAUACCCUUAUUGUGUGAACGUACUCG
rnacentral:rRNA from 1 species